rnacentral:lncRNA from 1 species
GACAUUGGCACAAACGCCAAAUUUGAGAGUUUUUCUAGGGCAGCUUCCUGAGGAGGAUGGAGUUGGGGUGGGCUUAGGUUUAGGUUUGGGAAUGGAACUGCAGCCACCGCCACAAGCCGUAGUUAGCGUGAAAAAGAGGAUGUUGAAUGUGAGGAAAAUGAUAAGGGGGGCUGAGUUUUUGGAAGCCAUCUUUGCAAAGAUAAAUUUCAAAUUGAGCAAGUUCUAAGAUGGAAGUGUUGCUUUAGAGGAUGGUGAAGUAAAAUGAAGAGUGGAUGUAUGUGUAUAUAUUAGGAUUGCAAGGGUUUGGACAGUUAAAAAAAGCUGUCUUAAUAAAUCAUCUUGAGCAAUUAUUAACUUCUUUGAUAUUUUAGUGACAGUGGAACAUUGUUUUAUUAAGUGGUUACAAUAAUUCGUUUUUUAUAUAUCAUUCAGAAAUGUGCACAAUCAUGGAACUGGUUUAGUAGUGUGAUGUUAUGCUGUAGUAG